rnacentral:tRNA from 1 species
GGGCCUUUAGCUCAGAUGGUUAGUAGCAGCUGACUCAUAAUCAGCAGGUCAUCGGUUCAAGUCCGGUAGGGCCCA